GGUUUGACGGUACCUUUAAAGGAAGCACCGGCUAACUCCGUGCCAGCAGCCGCGGUAAUACGGGGGGUGCAAGCGUUGUUCGGAAUUAUUGGGCGUAAAGCGCGUGUAGGCGGUCUGAUUAGUCUGAUGUGAGAGCCCUGGGCUCAACCCAGGAAGUGCAUUGGAUACUGUCAGACUUGAAUACGGGAGGGGGUAGUGGAAUUCCUAGUGUAGGAGUGAAAUCCGCAGAUAUUAGGAGGAACACCGGUGGCGAAGGCGGCUACCUGGACCGAUAUUGACGCUGAGACGCGAAAGCGUGGGUAGCAAACAGGAUUAGAUACCCUGGUAGUCCACGCCGUAAACGAUGAGAACUAGGUGUCGCGGGUA
rnacentral:rRNA from 1 species